rnacentral:rRNA from 1 species
ACGAACGCUGGCGGCGUGCCUAAUACAUGCAAGUCGAACGAACCGCGACUAAGUGCUUGCACUAAGUCAAGGUGAGUGGCGAACGGGUGAGUAACACGUGGGUAACCUACCUCAUAGUGGGGGAUAACAGUCGGAAACGACUGCUAAUACCGCAUAGGACAUAGGAUCACAUGAUCCAGUGAGGAAAGGUGGCGCAAGCUAUCGCUAAGAGAUGGACCCGCGGUGCAUUAGCUAGUUGGUAGGGUAAAGGCCUACCAAGGCGAUGAUGCAUAGCCGACCUGAGAGAGUGAUCGGCGACAGUGGGACUGAGACACGGCCCAAACUCCUACGGGAGGCAGCAGUAGGGAAUCUUGCGCGAUGGACGCAAGUCUGACUGAGCAACGCCGCGUGAGUGAAGAAGGUCUUCGGAUCGUAAAGCUCUGUUGUUAGAGAAGAACAGCGCAUAGAGUAACUGCUAUGCGUGUGACGGUAUCUAACCAGAAAGCCACGGCUAACUACGUG